rnacentral:rRNA from 1 species
GGCUGGUCGUCUCUCAGACCAGCUACCCGUCUUAUGCCUUGGUGGGCCGUUACCCCGCCAACUAGCUGAUAGGCCGCGGACUCAUCUGGAAGCGUCAGGCCUUGCGGUCCCCAACUUUAGUCUUCCAACCACAUCCGGCAUUAGUCCGGCUUUCGCCGAAUUAUUCCGAACUUCCAGGCAGAUGAUCCACGUGUUACGCACCCUUGCGCCGCUCCGAACAUCCAAUAUUGCUACCGGAUAUUCAGCGCUCGACUUGCAUGUCUUAACCACGCCGACACGCCGACGCCGAGA